rnacentral:rRNA from 1 species
CGUGAAACCGUUGUGAGGUAAACGGAGGGGGCCCGGCGGUCGUUUUGAUGCUUUCAGUUGGAUGCGCCGUCGCGUAGCGUGUACGGGAUGCCUUUGGCACUCAGAAAGCGUGACGUGGUGAGCAGCCAGCGCACUAGUGUCGAUUCGAACGCCGCGACCGCUUGUUGGGCGACCAGAAGCCUUGUGCGAAGAUAGCAUCUAUGCCUUCGGGUGUAGGUGUUUUACAGAGCGCGAGUGUUGAUGGCUUGCUUGGCGAGUGGGGAAUCCUGGCCGCGUCUGCCCUUUAGGGCGAGUCUCGCGUUGCCGUUGGUCUGUAGCGAUCUGUCUUCUGUUCUCAGAGGGCGGGACGAGGCGGGCUUUCGUGCUGCGUUGUUCUCAUAGGCGCCAAGGGUCCGCGGUUCUGCU